rnacentral:rRNA from 1 species
AAUACGUUCCCGGGCCUUGUACACACCGCCCGUCAAGCCAUGGAAGCUGGGGGUGCCUGAAGUCGGUGACCGUAAGGAGCUGCCUAGGGUAAAACUAGUAACUGGGCU